AGAUAUGAUGUGCUCCACACACUGGGCUCUGAAAGAAAAUUAGGCAAGCUUUUUAGAAAUUGUGUUCUGCUACAGUCUACAAUUUUUUUAACCUCCUGGUUCAUGACCUCCUGAGCCUCGCCAGCCAGGCUACAGUCUACAGUUUUGAGAGAAAAGGAAAAAGAAAAGAUCUCAUGAAUAUGGAACUUCUACAGCUGGCUACUUUCAUCUACUGUAGUCUCCUCUUAUCCAUGGGGUUUAUGUUCCAAGACCCCCGAGGAUGCCUGAAACCAAGGAUAGUAACAAACCUUAUACAUACUAUUUUUUCUUAUGUGUCCAUACUCAUGAUAAAGUUUAAUUUAUA